UGGGGAAUAUUGGACAAUGGGCGAAAGCCUGAUCCAGCCAUGCCGCGUGUGUGAAGAAGGCCUUUUGGUUGUAAAGCACUUUAAGCGAGGAGGAGGCUACUUGGAUUAAUACUCUAGGAUAGUGGACGUUACUCGCAGAAUAAGCACCGGCUAACUCUGUGCCAGCAGCCGCGGUAAUACAGAGGGUGCGAGCGUUAAUCGGAUUUACUGGGCGUAAAGCGUGCGUAGGCGGCUUCUUAAGUCGGAUGUGAAAUCCCUGAGCUUAACUUAGGAAUUGCAUUCGAUACUGGGAAGCUAGAGUAUGGGAGAGGAUGGUAGAAUUCCAGGUGUAGCGGUGAAAUGCGUAGAGAUCUGGAGGAAUACCGACGGCGAAGGCAGCCAUCUGGCCUAAUACUGACGCUGAGGUACGAAAGCAUGGGGAGCAAACAGG
rnacentral:rRNA from 1 species